rnacentral:rRNA from 1 species
GAGUUUGAUCCUGGCUCAGAAUGAACGCUGGCGGCGUGCUUAACACAUGCAAGUCGAACGAGAAAGCCCGAUUUCGGUCGGGCGAGUAAAGUGGCGCACGGGUGAGUAACGCGUAGGCAACCUACCCUCGUAUCGGGGAUAACACUUCGAAAGGGGUGCUAAUACCGGAUGAGACCCUUUGGCGUGAGCUUCGGGGUGAAAGUCGGCCUCUCUAUAGAAGCCGGUGUACGGGGAAGGGCCUGCGUCCUAUCAGCUAGUUGGUGGGGUAACGGCCUACCAAGGCGACGACGGGUAGCUGGUCUGAGAGGAUGAUCAGCCACACUGGCACUGGAACACGGGCCAGACUCCUACGGGAGGCAGCAGUGAGGAAUUUUGCGCAAUGGCCGAAAGGCUGACGCAGCAACGCCGCGUGGGUGAUGAAGGCCUUCGGGUCGUAAAGCCCUGUCAGGUGGGAAGAAAACCUCGGGAUCGAAUAGGUUUCGAGCUUGACGGUACCACCAGAGGAAGCACCGGCUAACUCCGUGCCAGCAGCCGCGGUAA